GAUGAACGCUAGCGGCAGGCUUAAUACAUGCAAGUCGAGGGGCAGCAUGUUUGUAGCAAUACAGAUGAUGGCGACCGGCAAACGGGUGCGGAACACGUACACAACCUUCCUUUUAGUGGGGGAUAGCCCAGAGAAAUUUGGAUUAAUACCCCGUAACAUAUAGAUAUGGCAUCAUGUUUAUAUUAAAGCUACGGCGCUAGGAGAUGGGUGUGCGGCUGAUUAGAUAGUUGGCGGGGUAACGGCCCACCAAGUCUACGAUCAGUAGCUGAUGUGAGAGAAUGACCAGCCACACGGGCACUGAGACACGGGCCCGACUCCUACGGGAGGCAGCAGUAAGGAAUAUUGGACAAUGGGCGCAAGCCUGAUCCAGCCAUGCCGCGUGAAGGAUUAAGGUCCUCUGGAUUGUAAACUUCUUUUAUAAGGGACGAAAAAAGGCUUUUCUAAGUCGUCUGACGGUACCUUAUGAAUAAGCACCGGCUAACUCCGUGCCAGUCGCCGCAGUAA
rnacentral:rRNA from 1 species